AUGAACGCUGGCGGCGUGCCUAAUACAUGCAAGUAGAACGCUGAAGGAGGAGCUUGCUCUUCUGGAUGAGUUGCGAACGGGUGAGUAACGCGUAGGUAACCUGCCUGGUAGCGGGGGAUAACUAUUGGAAACGAUAGCUAAUACCGCAUGACAACAGUUAUUGCAUGAUAACUGUUUAAAAGGGGCAACUGCUCCACUACCAGAUGGACCUGCGUUGUAUUAGCUAGUUGGUGAGGUAACGGCUCACCAAGGCGACGAUACAUAGCCGACCUGAGAGGGUGAUCGGCCACACUGGGACUGAGACACGGCCCAGACUCCUACGGGAGGCAGCAGUAGGGAAUCUUCGGCAAUGGACGGAAGUCUGACCGAGCAACGCCGCGUGAGGGAAGAAGGUUUUCGGAUCGUAAAGCUCUGUUGUAAGAGAAGAACGAGUGUGAGAGUGGAAAGUUCACACUGUGACGGUAUCUUACCAGAAAGAGACGGCUAACUACGUG
rnacentral:rRNA from 1 species